AUUUUGUGUUUUAAAGUCCAAAAAGUAUUUUAUAUGAAUAUUUCAAAAAUCACCCAAAACAUGCCUUACUAUAGCCUUACAUCCUGAAAAUAUCCAUAAAAAUAAAAAGUCCCAGAAAUGGUCAUUUUUGAUCUACUCAUGUAAGCAAAACAUUUUUUUUGUUACCGGAAAUUAACAGUGUUGUGAAAUGUUUACAGGACAUCGGGGCUGGAAAGAGCAAAUACUACACCGUGAAUUACCCACGAAGCCGUCUUUAAACCGUUUGAGCGCAUGACCAAAGAACAGCCUGUGAGGAGGAGGUCCAGGAAUGGUGCCAACCAAGGGGGGGAAAAGGAAGCAGAAGAGGUCAAAAGAAGAGGUUUAAUGAAGUUGUUCCACUCCUGAUGAUGGACCUUUGUUGAAUCCUGUGAGCACACGUGGUUGACAGAAGUAGCGUUGUGAGUGCAGCAGCUCCACGACGCCAAGAAGUUUGAGGCAUCUGGUUUCUGUUACGUGAACGACAUCGCCAUGGCCAUUUCUGAGCUUUUCAGGACAUCGGGCUGGAAAGAGCAAAUACUUCGCAGUGAAUUACCCACGACGCCAUCUUUAAACCGUUUGAGCCCCGAAGAAUAGCAUGUGAGAGGGAGGUCCAGGAAUGCUGCCAACCAAGGGGAAAAAGGAAGCAGAAGAGAGGCAACCUGUGGAUGAUUGACUAGAGCCAGAACAAGUAGUAGUGUUAUUGCAUUUACUUUGUCUUUGUGCUAGAUGGAGAGUUGUUUUUAAUUUAACCAAAUAAAGUAUUUGUUAUUGAAUUGUUUCAUGUAGUCAUUGUUGAAUGUGGAAUUCUUUAGAGUACUAAGUAGUGGUUAAUUGAAGCACUGUGUAACAUGCUAGUGCUAAACACUUUGAACAUGGUGUAGUCAUCUGAGAGUGUUUGUAUGUAAUGUCUUUAUUUCAUCUUGUUUGAGUUCAAAAGAAGACGUUUAAUGAAGUUGUUCCACUCCUGAUGAUGGACCUUUGUUGAAUCCUGUGAGCACACGUGUUAGACAGUAGUGUUAGUAUGUAAUCGGUCCAUCUUUACCUGAAGUGCUAAAGCUAAAAAUUGCUGUUGUAAUUUGACAUUAAGUGUAUCUAUGGACUUGUUGUGAUUAAAUGCAAAGUGUUUAGCUAUUGAGUAAAGUUCUAUUCUUUGUGCCUCCCCUGAUAUUGUUGUUAAUAAAUGUGCAAUGGAGGAGAAGACGGACACAGCAGCUUGGACUCUGCCAGGUAGAGUGAAGGAGCAACUUUAUUUGAAGCAGAUCACUUGUUGUUUGCUGUACUUGAAUGUUUUACUGAAUUGUAAUGACUUUAUUGUGUAACUUGAUUGCUAUGCUAUUGUCAUUAACAGAUUUUUGACUUAGAGUUUUUUUUUAGUUCAUUUAUUUGUAUGUAAUUUAGUUAAUUUAACUUAUGUAGUGCAAUCAUUGUAUAACUUGAUUGCUAUGCAGUUGUCUAACAGUUUUUUUUUGACUUGGUGUUUUUAGUUAAUUUUAUUUUGUACUUAGUAUUUCUUUAGCUCUAUUUAAAUUGUAUGUAGUGCAAUCAUUGUGUAACUCGAGCUUCCAAUAAACAGUUGGACCAUUGUGUGCAUUCAUUUCAAGAUAUUGAGCAAAUACGAAUGGAGUUUCUCGUUGCCUUUUAGGGCAUGCAUUGUCAAACUCAUUCAUAUUUGCUUAGUAUCUUGAAAUGAAUGCACACAAUGGUCCAACACUGUUUAAUUGUAAGGUUUACAACACAGCUCAAGUUACACAAUGAUUGCACUACAUAACUAACAACAAUAAAGCUCAAGAAAUAUACUAAGUACAAAAAAAUGUUAGACAACUGCAUAGCAAUCAAGUUACACAAUGAUUCCACUACACAAGU